GAAACAUCGAACUUGGGAGCUUUGAUACAUGCAGAACUAGUGGUACAUAACAGUACUACAACGGAAUUCUGGUUCCCAUUCUCCAAACCAAAUGUGACCUAAUUGGAAUUAACUCAUUGAUAUGAUGUCAUUUUUCAUUAAAGCAUAAUUAUCAAAUAUUUAAGAAUUUAAGUAUUUUUUGGGCAUGCUUUUUAACUCUGAUGAUUGAAUCACAAAAUUGCAGAUAUAUAUCCUGAUCCUUGAAUCCAAUUAUUCAGAUAUGGAUUGUAGUGUUCCCUAGUUCUUGUAAAUGGC
rnacentral:misc_RNA from 1 species